AUGAACGCUGGCGGCGUGCUUAACACAUGCAAGUCGGAUGUGCGGAAACGCGCAUGGCGGACGGGUGAGUAACGCGUGGGCGACCUGCCCAGCAGUGGGGAAUAACGUCCCGAAAGGGGCGACAAUGCCGCAUGAGGCCGCGCGCAUGGUGGCGCGCGGCGAAAGCCGGGGACCUUCGGGCCCGGCGCUGCCGGAGGGGCCUGCGCCUGAUUAGCUUGUUGGCGGGGUGACGGCCCACCAAGGCGACGAUCAGUAGCCGGCCUGAGAGGGCGAUCGGCCACACUGGGACUGAGACACGGCCCAGACUCCUACGGGAGGCAGCAGUGGGGAAUUUUGCGCAAUGGGCGGAAGCCUGACGCAGCAACGCCGCGUGGGCGACGAAGGCCUUCGGGCCGUAAAGCCCUGUCGCCGGGGAAGAAGCCGUGCCGCCGAACGGGCGGCUUCGGUUGACGGUACCCGGAGAGGAAGCCCCGGCCAACUCUGUGCCAGCAGCCGCGGUAAUACAGAGGGGGCGAGCGUUAUUCGGAAUUAUUGGGCGUAAAGGGCGCGCAGGCGGCGCGGCAAGUCAGAUGUGCAAUCCCCGGGCUCAACCUGGGAACCGCAUCUGGGACUGCCGUGCUAGAGUGCCGGAGAGGGUGGCGGAAUUCCACGUGUAGCGGUGAAAUGCGUAGAGAUGUGGAGGAACACCGGUGGCGAAGGCGGCCACCUGGACGGCGACUGACGCUGAGGCGCGAAAGUGCGGGUAGCAAACAGGAUUAGAUACCCUGGUAGUCCGCACCGUAAACGAUGGGCACUUGGUGU
rnacentral:rRNA from 1 species